UGCCCAGCUUGAGGCAGGUGGGGCACUGGAGCUUGGCCUCGCUGCUGCAGCCGGCGGUCUCGCACACUCUGCGGGUCUCCACCGCCGCCGCCAUGCUGCCGGGCGGCCACGGGGGAGGAGCCGCCGCCCGGAGCUGCCGCCGGCUGGGGCGGGCGGGAGAGCGGCGAGGGAGGGCAGGGAGGAGGUUGAGAGGACUCACAGCCCGGCCGACCUGGGCUUUGGAGGCUUCCAGGCAUGGGGCAUCCACAGCUUCUCUGCGCCAGCACCUCACCACCCCUCGCAGUGAAGAGGGUGUUUAGAGGAUGUUUAGUCUGGGGAAGGAAAGACUGAGAGCGGAUCUCAUUAAAGCAUUAUCCUUGCUGGGACAAUGUCAGUAUAUGUUUGUGCUCAUUUUGCAGUGGUCGACAAUGAUGCAGGUUUCAAAUUCAAACUAAGAUGAUCAGAUUUUUAAUCACAUAAAAUACAAUGAUUCUAACUCACCGAUGUGAGGGCCUGCUCCAUUUCCACUUAAACCAGUGAGAUACAGGUGUGCAGUUCAAUUAGAGCUUGUACUUGCACACCUUUGACUUGGAAGCAGAUGUUCCUAACAACUACUUAAAUUCACACUGGAAAUUGAUAAAUCCCUGAAGUGUGUGAGGGUUCCUGAAGAUGAGAUAUCCAGCAUUUCUUUACUUCAGCCCCUUCUUUUUUUCCACUAUAACUUCAAGGGGUGGGAUUUUCUGGUUGUAUUGACGAUACCUCUUUGCCUUCUAUCUUAAAUUUCAUUUUAGUUUGAAGACGAUAUCACUUGCAAGGCAGCCACAUUACUUCUGAGCAUCUUCUUUAUUACGUGUGUUAGUAGUGACUUGAAGAAAAGAUUAUAGUAGCUCAUAAUCCUCUCAUUGCUACCGUAAGUUGUUGGAUAACUUCUGAUGUCAUCUUUAGAGGCUGCUUUGUGCCUCCAUAACUCAAGAAAUCAAAGAAAAAGAUACCAAAUCACAACACGUACUUACUUCGUAUUUGCAUGGCAAUAAGGUAGGCCAUGUUUUGAACUCAGCAAUACUAUAUUCAUCUACCUAAUUAAACAUUGUUAAUAAGCAUAGCUGUCUUAUAAGGGACUUCAUGCUGUUAGCCCUGUGUUGCAUAAGAAACAUGAAAUAGCCAAAUGCUAUAUGACAUUCAUUGAUUUGGUUGUUAUCACUCAUUUAUAGUUCUUCUCAGUAAAAUGACAUUCGCAGCUAUAAAAUUUAGGUCUGUGCACUUGGUUCAUUGAGAAUAUAAAUAGAAAGUUAAACACAGAAGAAGCUGAAGAAAAAAUUAUCAGGGAGGAAGACGAUUCUGGGUGGAUUAUCUUUAUUUAUGUUAAGACACUUAAAGACAGGAUUAAAACAGGCAGUCAAAGAAUGUGCACGGCUGCCAAACAAGUAAAAUGGAAUAUCAGAUCCAUCUGGCAUUCCCCAUUCUGGGAAAUAAAUAGGAAGACCUAUUAAUUACUCUAUUCACAUUAAAAAACCUAUAAAGAAUUAGCAGAAACCAAAUUGUAUAAAAUGGGUUAAAUGGACAGUAUGUCACUGGACAAAAGAAAAAAGCUGCUGCAUGUCUUGGUGUACUUUCUGAAUGUACAAAUGUAAUAGAUUAUGUUCUUAUUUUGCUGUCAUAACAUGAUUUAACAUUAUACAGUU